GCUGUUUCCACCCGCCGGGAAGGAAGUCGGCUUCCCACGCCUGAAGGGGUUGUGCUUGGGCAGCCCGUACAUCAGGAAUCAUCAACAGGGAGCCAGGGAUGGUUCCUCAAAACAGCAUGUGACAGGAGCAGAGGGAGACGCUGGGAAUUCAUCCCAGGGAACAUGUCGGGGUGCACUGGACAGGGAGCCCAGACUGGUCACUCAGGACAUUUGCAAGCAGCAGGGCACUGGGACAGCUGCUGUAGGGAAAGGAAACUCAUUCCCCUUCCAGCCCGAGUCCAUAACAUGCUCCCAGCUGCCUGCCAGACCCACCCUGUGCUCUGGAGCUGCCUGGUGUUUGCCUGGAACCACAGGCAGGCCCUUCUGGAACUGCAGCAUUUUGGAUUCUGGGUUAGGAAGAUCUCCCUGCCUUCAGGGGAAUGAAAAGGGCUGGUCCUCCGCACCUCUCACUUUAUCAGGAGGACUGGCAGGGAAGGCGCUUCCUGCCGGCGCAACAGAGCUGCAGCCCGUCCUGAAUCUUUUCUGUUUUCUCCCUUGGCAGAUUUGCUGUUUUUAACUGGAUUGGCCUCAUCCGUCUUCAUUUUGUCAGAGCUCCUCAAACUAUGUGAAAAAUACUGUUGCAGCCCCAAGAGAGUCCAGAUGCACCCUGAAGAUGUGUAGUGGACCGCACUCCGCGGCACCUUCCCUAAUCAUCUCGAUCUGGUUGUGACUGUGGCCCCUGCCGUGUCUCCUCGUCAGGGGAGACUUUUAGGAGGCCGCAGCCUUCCAUCACCGGAUCAGUUUUUCCUCUUAGGAAAGCUGCAGGAACCUCGUGGGCUCCAGGGACCCAGGCCCACAUCCAUCCAGCGUUCCCGCUGGCUGUGGGACAGACAGGGAGGGGCCUGUACAGAAACACCACACUGUUUAUUAAAUCACAAUGAUUUUUAUU
rnacentral:lncRNA from 1 species